UACGGAGGGUGCGAGCGUUGUCCGGAAUCAUUGGGCGUAAAGGGCGCGUAGGUGGCCCCUCAAGCGUGCGGUGAAAGUCAGGGCUCAACCCCUGAUCGGCCGUGCGAACUGGGGAGCUUGAGCACUGUAGAGGCAGGCGGAAUUCCGGGUGUAGCGGUGGAAUGCGUAGAGAUCCGGAAGAACACCGGUGGCGAAGGCGGCCUGCUGGGCAGUUUGCUGACACUGAGGCGCGACAGCGUGGGGAGCAAACAGGG
rnacentral:rRNA from 1 species